rnacentral:rRNA from 1 species
CACGGAGGGGGCAAGCGUUAUUCGGAAUUAUUGGGCGUAAAGGGCGCGUAGGCGGCUAGAUGUGUCAAAGGUGAAAUCCCUCGGCUCAACUGAGGAACUGCCUUUGAAACUGUCUGGCUUGAGGCCGGGAGAGGGUAGCGGAAUUCCCAGUGUAGCGGUGAAAUGCGUAGAUAUUGGGAGGAACACCAGUGGCGAAGGCGGCUACCUGGACCGGUUCUGACGCUGAGAUGCGAAAGCGUGGGGAGCAAACAGG